UGGGGAAUUUUGGACAAUGGGCGCAAGCCUGAUCCAGCCAUGCCGCGUGUCUGAAGAAGGCCUUCGGGUUGUAAAGGACUUUUGUCCGGGAGCAAAUGCCUGGUGUUAAUAGCACUGGGCGCUGAGAGUACCGGAAGAAUAAGCACCGGCUAACUACUGGCAAGCAGCCGCGGUAAUACGUAGGGUGCAAGCGUUAAUCGGAAUUACUGGGCGUAAAGCGUGCGCAGGCGGUUUUGUAAGCCAGAUGUGAAAGCCCCGGGCUCAACCUGGGAACUGCGUUUGGAACUACAAGACUAGAGUGUGUCAGAGGGGGGUGGAAUUCCGCGUGUAGCAGUGAAAUGCGUAGAGAUGCGGAGGAACACCGAUGGCGAAGGCAGCCCCCUGGGAUAACACUGACGCUCAUGCACGAAAGCGUGGGGAGCAAA
rnacentral:rRNA from 1 species